GAUAACUGCUAAAAGACAUAUUUAUGAAAUUAUCUUUAUAAACGCGCUUUUAUUAAGUGCGUGAGACCAUGUCACUAAUGUAUAGCGUAUGCAUACCGUGUUUUCAAUUACCACAAACGUUUUUAUAACGGAAACACCCGGAGAAGCGCAAAAUGACUCAUCUAGCGUUUGUUCAGGAUUUUAGCUUUCUGCACUUAAAUCAAGGAAUAAAUUGCCUCUGGAAUUGAAUGUUAUUGAAUAAAAUCAUCGAGGAAUCGGUUUUGCCUAUUUUCUUGUGUAUAAGUCACGUCUAACGUUUGCUUGGUGAGAAUGGGUAUCCGACUUGCAACUAAACUUCGGAUAAAACUUCACUUUGCAGUAAAUUGAAAUUAUUCCUUCAUGUUCAGCAGAACAGAGAGGUCGGGUACAAAACAAAACAAGUAUAACCGUAGUAAGCAUGUUACCUUUAACGGUGGAUAUACCGGGCAUGAGGACAAUCCGUUUGGACGGACUUAAUGAUGUGAUACUGAUGUCAGACACAUCGCAUUGGUCAUGUUCCUACUAUUUAUAUCUCCUACAGAACAAAUAACAAUAAACUUGAAUGGAAUUUUACGUAAUAAGUAGUUUGAGAAGCAGUUACUAUUGGAACAUUUGCCGCCCUCAGGAUCUAUAUAAUGACGCAGAACAUUCAUAACCUUUAUGGAUAAUGUGAACAAUUCUUAUUCGGUUACAUGGAGUUAUGUACGUAAAAAUAACAUUCAAGUGCAGAUGUGUUAAAGACACUUCGCUACUUAAUAUCUAAGAAGUAGCUUUAUGUACCGCUUGUAUAUAAUAUAAUAUAUAUUUUUGCUGCCAAUACAUGUCGAUUGAAAUGCUGCCAAAUACUAAUGCCUGUUACCGAUUGAAAUGCUGCCAAAUACUAAUGCCUGUUACCUAAAACCUGUU